ACGAACGCUGGCGGCGCGCUUAACACAUGCAAGUCGAGCGAGAACCGGAGCUUCGGCUCCGGGGACAGCGGCGAACGGGUGAGUAACACGUGAGUAACCUGCCCUCGGCACCGGGAUAGCCCGGGGAAACCCGGAUUAAUACCGGAUAGCCUCUCCAGCCUUCGGGCCGGCGAGAAAAGGUAGCUUCGGCCUCUGGCCGAGGAUGGCCUCGCGGCCGGAUCAGCUAGUUGGCGGGGUAACGGCCCACCAAGGCGGACGAUCCGUAGCUGGUCUGAGAGGAUGAUCAGCCACAUUGGGACUGAGACACGGCCCAGACUCCUACGGGAGGCAGCAGUGGGGAAUCUUGCGCAAUGGGAGCAAGCCUGACGCAGCGACGCCGCGUGGGGGAAGAAGGUCUUCGGGCUCGUAAACCGCUUUCCGGGGACGAAGCCACUCGGGUUACAGACCAGAGGUGACGGUACCGGUCAGAAGGAAGCACCGGCUAACUCCGUGCCAGCAGCCGCGGUAAUACGUAGGGGGCAAGCGUUGUCCGGAUCUACUGGGCGUAAAGAGCGCUGUAGGCGGCAUGCUAAGCUGGGUGGUGAAAGCCGGGGCUCAACCUCAGGGUCGACCCGAACUAUCGUGCUCGAGCACUGGAAGGGGCGGGUGGAAUUCCUGGUGUAGCGGUGGAAUGCGUAGAUAUCCGGAAGAACACCGGUGGCUAAGGCGGCCCUCUGCUAGUACGGGCAUCCCUGACGCUGAGGACGCGACAGCGUGGGGAGCGAACAGGAUUAGAUACCCUGGUAGUCCACGCCGUAAACGAUGGGGCCUAGGUGCCUGGGGGUAGUCGACUCCCGUCCGUGCCGCAGCUAACGCAUUAAGUGCCCCGCCUGGGGAGUACGGCCGCAAGGCUGAAACUCAAAGGAAUUGACGGGGGCCCGCACAAGCGGUGGAGCAUGUGGUUUAAUUCGACGCAACGCGAAGAACCUUACCUGGGCUUGACAUGCGCGGGAAACCCCCCAGAAACGGGGGGCCCUCUUCGGAGUCCGCGCACAGGUGCUGCAUGGCUGUCGUCAGCUCGUGUCGUGAGAUGUUGGGUUAAGUCCCGCAACGAGCGCAACCCCCGUCCCUAGUUACCAGCGGGUUAAGCCGGGCACUCUAGGGAGACUGCCGGUGCCAAACCGGAGGAAGGUGGGGUCGACGUCAAGUCAUCAUGGUCCUUACGUCCAGGGCUACACACGUGCUACAAUGGGCGGGACAGAGGGUCGCGAGGGGGAAACCCGGAGCCAAUCCCGACAAACCCGCCCUCAGUUCGGAUUGUCCUCUGCAACCCGAGGGCAUGAAGCUGGAAUCGCUAGUAAUCGCGGAUCAGCUACGCCGCGGUGAAUACGUUCCCGGGCCUUGUACACACCGCCCGUCACGCCAUGGAAGCUGUGAGCGCCCGAAGUCCGUGCCGGAACUGGGCAACCAGGCCAAGCGGCCGAAGGCGAGCGCAGUGACUGGGGCG
rnacentral:rRNA from 1 species